rnacentral:rRNA from 1 species
AUUGAACGCUGGCGGCAUGCUUUACACAUGCAAGUCGAACGGCAGCGCGGGCUUCGGCCUGGCGGCGGGUGGCGAACGGGUGAGUAAUGCAUCGGAACGUGCCCAGCUGUCGGGGAUAGCCCGGCGAAAGCCGGAUUAAUACCGCAUACGACCUGAGGGUGAAAGCGGGGGACCGAAAGGCCUCGCGCUAUUGGAGCGGCCGAUGUCGGAUUAGCUAGUUGGUGGGGUAAAGGCUUACCAAGGCGACGAUCCGUAGCUGGUCUGAGAGGACGACCAGCCACACUGGGACUGAGACACGGCCCAGACUCCUACGGGAGGCAGCAGUGGGGAAUUUUGGACAAUGGGGGCAACCCUGAUCCAGCCGUGCCGCGUGCGGGAAGAAGGCCUUCGGGUUGUAAACCGCUUUUGUUCGGGAAGAAAUCCUCUGGGCUAAUACCCCGGGGGGAUGACGGUACCGGAAGAAGAAGCACCGGCUAACUACGUG